GUCGUCCAGGGAGCCAGGAUGCAACCUGUAAGAUAUGAUAAAGUUCUACAUAUGUUUAACUAAUUAAGCACUACACCAUGAAGGCGUAUGGGGGAGUGGACGUAUAUACACAUUUUCUUGACCUUGGCACUAGUUGGAGAUUCUUGGUUUGUAAAAUCCACUACUACUCCUACCAGGCCUGAGUUGACAUGAGAGCAUCUGUCUGCCUGACUGACUUUACGAUUUUCAGAUGCCUACCUGAGCAACAAUGGUGUUGAGAAGCAGGAACCCAAGAAGGGUGAGAAACACAACGGUGCUAUGGAGACCCAGC